rnacentral:misc_RNA from 1 species
GAUGAAGAACGCAGCGAAAUGCGAUAAGUAAUGUGAAUUGCAGAAUUCCGUGAAUCAUCGAAUCUUUGAACGCACAUUGCGCCCCCUGGUAUUCCGGGGGGCAUGCCUGUCCGAGCGUCAUUGCAACCCUCAAGCGCGGCUUGUGUGUUGGGCUUCGUCCCCCCGUGGACGUGCCCGAAAGGCAGUGGCGGCGUCCCGAAUGGUGCCCGAGCGUAUGGGAACUCUCUUCCGCUCGAACCGGCCCAUUCGGCGCUGGUCGAACCCCAAUUUUUUUUUACCGGUUGACCUCGGAUCAGGUAGGGAUACCCGCUGAACUUAAGCAUAUCAAUAAGCGGAAGA